CAUGCUCAGUAGACCCGCAGGUCUCCUUUAAGUCGGAAGCCGGCCGCGGCCCCCGCCCCCUCCCGCCCCGCGAGGGCGCGGGGAGAAGCGGACAUUUUCUCCUUUUCAGCAAUCUGCUCUUUCUUGUCCUUCGCCCCCGCGCUGCGUCCUCCCACUUCUCGCCCGUCGGGGUCCGGUAGGGCGGGGAGUGUAGAUCUCCCCGGGGUGGGCUGGUGAUAAUCAGUCCCCUUCCCUUCCCGGGGGUGUGGGGGCGUGGGAUAGGGGGUGACUGGGGGAGGACUCCACUGUGCCCUAAGGUUUGUGCUGCCCGGCCGCGGCCCGCAGGAGCCCCCCUACUGCCGCGGCGGCCCCCGCUCCCCGCCCCGUGAGGCGGGCGCAGCUGCGUCCCGCCUGUCCUCACCUCACCCCCAUUCUGCCCCUUAGGUAUUUCUCAAUGACCGGCGCUCGGAGGACACUUCCGACCCGGGAGGGAGCGGGUAGCAUUAGCUCCCGCUUUUAUCAGUUCCUUCCGGCCUGCAGGGAGCCCAGCCCUGCGCUCAGUUUGGCCGCGCCCGGGUGCUUUUAUUAUUCUGUUUAAAUAAGCAGUCGUGUGUGCCAGGGUGUGCCAAGCGACUUUGCAGCCUGGCUGCCUCCCCCCAGACCCGCCGGCUGGAAUGGAAACCCAAGCUCUCUCGUAAUGAAGGGGAUGAUGCAAACUUAGAAACUGACCCGGCACCCGGGAAUGAUGCCCCACCCCCACCCUUGGCGCGCGGCGUCCCAGUACGGGCAUGAAUGGCUGGAGCCCAAUUGCAUAAUCGGCGCGGUAUAUAUAGCCGGCGGGCAGGCCGCUGACGCGCUCCUGCGUCCUCUUAUCGUGACUACUUCAUCGCCGAUGGCGUUGGCUCCCGGGUCAUUUUCCCUUUCAGCUGUAAGGCAGGGAUUUUAAAUAGCAGAGAUGAAAGCCUCUUGUCCCUGCCUCCCUCCUCCCUUGAGUUCAUGUAUUAUGAAUGAAACCUCGCUGCUUCCUGAAAUCCCUACUUCAGAUCCCAGAUAUACAGACUGCUGGGCAGAGGCAUUGAAGAAAGGACCAGAAAAACAGGUGACCAAUAAAAUGCAAGGAGAUGUCUGCUAGGGAAAUACUGGAAAAAAUUUGAAUCCCUGAACAAAAGAGAGAUAUGGGGUGAGAGGGAGUGCUCCCCUCUACCCCCGCCCCCCCGUUCCUGCCCUCAGAAGUUCUUGUGUGAGACAGUGAUGUUUAGCACUACCAGGAGGAGAAUGCCAAGAAAAUCAAAGGAGAGCUGACUGAGAAUCCUGGAAUCGCUGAGCUACUGAGUUGACCAGACUUGGAACCCACCUACCUCUGGACUUUAGGUUAUGUGAAAUUGUACAUCUUUAUUGUUUAAGCCACUUUUUUUUUGUUUUUUUUUUUUGCGGCACGCGGGCCUCUCACUGCUGUGGCCUCUCCCGUUGCGGAGCACAGGCUCCGGACGCGCAGGCUCAGCGGCCAUGGCUCACGAGCCCAGCCGCUCCGCGGCAUGUGGGAUCUUCCCGGACCGGGGCACGAACCCAUGUCCCCUGCAUCGGCAGGCGGACUCUCAACCACUGCGCCACCAGGGAAGCCCUAAGCCACUUUUUACCAGUGUCUUGUUACUUAAGGUCAAACUAAGUGAUUGACACUGUAUUCAUUCGUUGUAUGCACAGAAGUCCCUGUUUUAAGUAAAUCCCAGUGUUUCAACAGCAGGUGUCUGGUUGUUUUGCCACUUGCAGAAGAGGACUAACCAACAGAGUUAACUUCUAGACACAUCUCUUUGAGAUGUCAUCUGCUAUCAUUUGUAGGCUAAGAAAUUUUUGUUGCUAUUCAUGUAACAACCAAACAUUGACCAUCUAAAAAACAUAAAAACCUCUAGCUUAUAAGCACACAGGUUGUACGCUCGUAACGUGGUUAAAACUCAAUGGUUUUGUUCCAUUGUUAUUUGUGAUUAUAAGAGUAAGCCCUGGGACUGCCCUGUUGGUCCAGUGGUUGAGACUCUGCGCUUCCACUGUGUGUGUGUGUGUGUGUGUGUGUGGUGGGGGGGCGGUGGCAUGGGUUUGAUCCCUAGUCAGGGAACUAGGAUCCCCCAUGCUGGGCAGCAUGGCCAGAAAAAAAAAAAAAAAAUUAAAAUGCAAAAAAGUAUAGCAAGG